rnacentral:ncRNA from 1 species
GUUCAAACGAGGAAGGGCUUACGGUGGAUACCUAGGCACCCAGAGAUGAGGAAGGGUGUGGUAAGCGAUGAAAUGCUUCGGGGAGUUCAAAAUGAGCAUAGAUCCAGAGAUUCCCGAAUAGGUUAACCUUUUUAACUGCCGUUGAAUCCAUGGGCAGGCAAGAGACAACCUGGCGAACUGAAACAUCUUAGUAUCUAGAGGAAUAGAAAGAAAAAGCGAUUCCUGUAGUAGCGGCGAGCGAAAUCGGAGCAGCCUAAACCGUGAAAAUGGGGUUGUGGGAGAGCACAAUAUAAGCUCUGUGCUAGGCAAAGUGGUUGAGUCCUGCACCCUAGAUGGUGAGAGUCCAGUAGCCAAAAGCAUCAUUGGGUUACGCUCUAACCCGAGUAGCAUGGGGCAUGUGGAAUCCCAUGUGAAUCAGCAAGGACCACCUUGCAAGGCUAAAUACUCCUGGGUGACUGAUAGAAAAGUAGUACCGUGAGGGAAAGGUGAAAAGAACCCCCAUCAGGGAGUGAAAUAGAACAUGAAACCAUAAUCUCCCAAGCAGUGGGAGGAAAAUGAUAUCUCUGACCGCGUGCUUGUUGAAGAAUGAGUCGGUGACUUAUAGGUAGUGGCUUGGUUAAGGGAACCAACCGGAGCCGUAGCAAGAGCGCGUCUUCAUGGGGAAAUUGUCCCUGCUUAUGGACCCAAAUCUGGGUGAUCUAUCCAUGACCAGGAUGAAGCUUGGGUGAAACUAAGUGGAGAUCCGAACCAACUGAUGUUGAAAAAUCAACGAAUGAGUCGUGGUUAGGGGUGAAAUGCCACUCGAACCCAGAGCUAGUUGGUUCUCCCCAAAAUGCGUUGAGGCGGAGCUGUUGACUAGACCAUCUAGGGGUAAAGCACUGUUUCGGUACAGGCC